UACAGAGGUCUCAAGCGUUUGUUCGGAUUCAUUGGGCGUAAAGGGUGUGUAGGUGGCGCCGUAAGUCGGGUGUGAAAUUUUAGAGCUUAACUCUGAAACUGCAUUCGAUACUGCGGUGCUUGAGGACUGGAGAGGAGACUGGAAUUCAUGGUGUAGCAGUGAAAUGCGUAGAGAUCAUGAGGAAGACCAGUGGCGAAGGCGGGCUACUGGGCCGAUACUGACGCUGAGACGCGAAAGCGUGGGGAGCGAACAGG
rnacentral:rRNA from 1 species